rnacentral:rRNA from 1 species
UACGAAGGGAGCUAGCGUUGCUCGGAAUCACUGGGCGUAACGCGCACGUAGGCGGCUUUUUAAGUCAGGGGUGAAAUCCUGGAGCUCAACUCCAGAACUGCCUUUGAUACUGGGAAGCUCGAGUCCGGGAGAGGUGAGUGGAACUCCGAGUGUAGAGGUGAAAUUCGUAGAUAUUCGGAAGAACACCAGUGGCGAAGGCGGCUCACUGGCCCGGUACUGACGCUGAGGUGCGAAAGCGUGGGGAGCAAACAGG